GGGGCCGGGCGGAGGCAGCCGCCCGUCGGGGCCGCGCGCGCGGGGCGCAGCGGGGGCGCAGCGGGGCGGGGGGGCCGGGGGGGCCGGGGGGGCCAUGGGCUCGGUGUGGAAGCGGCUGCAGCGCGUGGGCAAGCGGGCGGCCAAGGUGCACGUCGUGGCCUGCUACGAGGAGCUGGUGGUGGAGAGCACCAGGAAGUGGCAGCCCGACAAACUCGUCGUGGUGUGGACGAGGCGCAACCGGCGCGUCUGCUCCAAGCCCCACAGCUGGCAGCCGGGCAUCGGGAACCCGUACCGCGGCACCGUGGUCUGGGUGGUGCCGGAGAACGUCGACAUCGUGGUGACGCUCUACCGGGACCCGCACGCGGACGAGUAUGAGGACAAGGAGUGGACGUUCGUCAUCGAGAACGAGUCGCGGGGGCGGCGCUCGGCGCUGGCGGCCGCCCCGGUGAACCUGGCGCGGUUCGUGGCCCCCGCGCCCGCCGCCGCCGCCCUGUCGCUGCCGCUGCGGCCCCGCUCCCGCAAGGUGGCCGCCGCCUGCCUGCGCCUCACCCUCACGGCCACCGUCCUGCGCGAGGGCCGCGCCACGGACGAGGACAUGCAGAGCGUGGCCAGUCUCAUGAGCAUCAAGCCGUGCGACGUGGCCGACCUGGGCGACUUCGCCGAGAGCGACGAGGAGGACGGGGCCGCUGGCGGGGGGCAGCCGCAGCGGGGGGACAGCGCUGCCCCCGCGCCCCACGAGCCCCCCCGAGAGCUGGACGCGCUGGCGGAGGAGGAGGAAGAGCCGGCGGCGGGGAGAGCUGCCCCCCCGGAGCGGGGCUCUGCCAUGGCGGGGGGCGACCGCCCGGCCCCAGGGCCCCCCCCGGCGCUGGGGGCACAGGGGGGCCCCCCUGGCCCCAACAGGGAGCCUGACCCUGGCCCGGGGCCGAGCAGCAGCCGGGCGCUGCUGGAGUGGUGCCAGGCGGUGACGGCCGGCUACCGCGGCGUCCGUGUCACCAACUUCAGCACGUCGUGGCGCAACGGGCUGGCGUUCUGCGCCAUCCUGCACCGCUUCCACCCCCGGCUGGUCAACUACGAGGCCUUGGACCCCCUGGACAUCAAGGCCAACAACAAGCUGGCCUUCGAGGGCUUCGCGGCGCUGGGCGUGGGGCGGCUGCUGGCGCCGGCCGACAUGGCGCUGCCGGGGGGGCCCGACCGCCUCAGCGUCAUGACCUACCUGUGGCAGCUGCGGGCGGCCCUGGCCGGGGGGGCGCCCGGCCCCGGCCCCCCCCCGCCCCCCGCAGCCCCCCCGGACGCGGCGGAGGCUGCAAGGGACUCUGGGAUGGAGGAUGGCCUCAAAUAUGCAAAGGAUGCUGGGAGCGCGGCCGCCCCCGGGGCCGCAAAGCAUGCUGGGAGUUUGGCCGACAGCAUCGCUGCAAAGGAUGCUGGGAGCGCGGCCAACCCUGGGGCUGCAAAGGAUGCUGGGAUAGUGCCUGUCCUAGAGGAUGCAAAGGAUGCUGGGAGUUUAGCCGAUAGCAUCGCUGCAAAGGAUGCUGGGAGCUCGGUCGACUCAAGGGCUGCAAAGGAUUCUGGGAGUUUGGUCAACUCAGGGGCUGCAAAGAAUGCUGGGAUAUUGGCUGUCCUAGAGGAUGCAAAGGAUGCUGGGAGUUUGGCUGACUCAAGGGCUGCAAAGGAUGCUGGGAGUUUGGCCGAUAGCAUCACUGCAAAGGAUGCUGGGAGCUCCGACAACUCAAAGGCUGCAAAGGAUGCUGGGAGUUUGGUCAACUUGAACGCCACAAAGCAUGCUGGGAGCACAACCAAAAAUGUAGCCGCCAAGGACUCUGGGAGUUCAGUCAGCUCAGGGGCUACAAAAGACACUGGGAGUUUGGCCAACGGCAUUGCUGCAAAGGAUGCUGGGAGCUCGAUCAACUCAGGGGCUGCAGAGGAUGCUGGGAUAGUCACUGUUCUAGAGGAUGCAAAGCACGCUGGGAGUUUGGCCAACUUGAAUGUCGCAAAGGAUGCUGGGAGCACAGCCAAAAAUGUAGCCACAAAGGACGCUGGGAGCUCAGCCAACAGCACAGCUGCAAAGGAUGCUGGGAGCUCGGCCAACGUAGAUGUUGCAAAGGAUGCUGGGAGCUCGGCCAACGUAGAUGUUGCAAAGGAUACUGGGAGUGCGGCCGCCGCCGAGGAUGCUGGGAAAGCACCCGCCAAUUGCUUCCCUGCCCCUGCAGCCAAGGGAGAAACCCUGGCUGCAAAGGAUGCUGGGAGUGCAGCCAAGGGCACCGCUGCAAAGGAUGCUGGGAGCUCGGCCAACAGCAUAGCUGCAAAGGCUGCUGGGAAUGCGGCCACCCCCGAGACUGCAAAGGACGCUGGGACGUUGGCUGUCCCGGCAGCCCCAGAGGAUGCUGGGAGCUCGGUCAACUCAAGGGCUGCAAAGGACUCUGGGAGCACGACCCACAGCGUAGCCGCAAAGAACGCUGGGAGUUUGGUCAACUCAGGGGCUUCAAAGGAUGCUGGGAUACUGGCUGUCCCGGGGGCUGCAAAGGAUGCUGGGAGUCCAGCUAAUAGCGUCGCUGCGGAGGAUGCUGGGGGCUCGGCCAACUCAGGGGCUGCAAAGGAUGAUGGGAGCUCGGCCAACAGCGCAGCCACAAGGGAUGCUGGGAGCUUGGCCAAUGGCGUUGUGGCAAAGGACGCUGGGAGUUCAGCCAACCGAGAGCAAGCAAAGCAUGCUGGGACAUUGGCUGUCCCAGAGGCUGCAAAGGAUGCUGGGAGUUUAACUAAUAGCGUCGCUGCAGAGGACGCUGGGACAUUGGCUGUCCUAGAAGAGGCAAAGGACUCUGGGAGCUCGGCCAAUGGCAUCGCCGCAAAGGACUCUGGGAGCUCGGCCAAUGGCAUCGCCGCAAAGGAAGCUGGGAGCUCGGCCAACUCGGAGGCUGCAAAGGAUGCUGGGAGCUCGGCCAGGGCGGGGGGGCCGGGGGCAGUGGUGCCCCCCCCGCGGCGGCGGCGGCGCUCGGGGCGGGGGGAGCCGCCGCCGCCCCCCUGCGCGGGGGGGGCCGCCCCCCCCGCCGCCCCCCCCCGGGGCCCCGGCGCCCUCGGCCGCCUGCGCGACGCCGACCUGCUGCGGCGCCACCGCGGCCCCCGCGCCCCCCCCGCGGGUGACGGUGACGGCAGGAGCAGCCCCACGGCCCCCCCAGCCCAGCCGGGCCCCGACGCCCCGGCAGAGCCCGGCCCCACGGAGGAGGAGAGACCGCGUUUGCAGGACGCGGGGCAGUACGUGGGGCUGGGGUGGCCGUGGUGGCCGUGGGGACAGUGUCCCCGUGCCAGCGUUUGCAGGACGCGGGGCAGUACGUGGGGCCGGGGUGGCCGUGGUGGCCGUGGGGACAGUGUCCCCGUGCCAGCGUUUGCAGGACGCGGGGCAGUACGUGGGGCUGGGGUGGCCGUGGUGGCCGUGGGGACAGUGUCCCCGUGCCAGCGUUUGCAGGACGCGGGGCAGUACGUGGGGCUGGGGUGGCCGUGGUGGCCGUGGGGACAGUGUCCCCGUGCCAGCGUUUGCAGGACGCGGGGCAGUACGUGGGGCCGGGGUGGCCGUGGUGGCCGUGGGGACAGUGUCCCCGUGCCAGCGUUUGCAGGACGCGGGGCAGUACGUGGGGCUGGGGUGGCCGUGGUGGCCGUGGGGACAGUGUCCCCGUGCCAGCGUUUGCAGGACGCGGGGCAGUACGUGGGGCUGGGGUGGCCGUGGUGGCCGUGGGGACAGUGUCCCCGUGCCAGCGUUUGCAGGACGCGGGGCAGUACGUGGGGCUGGGGUGGCCGUGGUGGCCGUGGGGACAGUGUCCCCGUGCCAGCGUUUGCAGGACGCGGGGCAGUACGUGGGGCUGGGGUGGCCGUGGUGGCCGUGGUGGCCGUGGGGACAGUGUCCCCGUGCCAGCGUUUGCAGGACGCGGGGCAGUACGUGGGGCCGGGGUGGCCGUGGUGGCCGUGGUGGCCGUGGGGACAGUGUCCCCGUGCCAGCGUUUGCAGGACGCGGGGCAGUACGUGCUGGCGGAGCUGCGGGCGCUCGAGGACGAGCAGACGCAGCUCGAUGGCCGGGCCGUCACCCUGGAGCGGGAGCUGCGGCGCCUCAUGGACUCAGGCGCGGACCCCCCCCGGGAGGAGGUGCUCAUCCAGGAGUGGUUCUCGCUGGUGAACCAGAAAAACGCCCUGAUCCGGCGCCAGGACCAGCUGCAGCUGCUGGCAGAGGAGCAGGACCUGGAGAGACGCUUCGAGCUGCUGAGCCGGGAGCUGCGGGCGAUGCUGGCCACCGAGGACUGGCAGAAGUCGGCGGCGCAGCAGCAACGGGAGCAGCUGCUGCUGGACGAACUGGUGUCACUGGUGAACCAG